GUCGAGCCGGCAGCGCGGGGCAACCUGGCGGCGAGCGGCGAACGGGUGAGUAAUGUAUCGGAACGUACCCAGUCGUGGGGGAUAACACAUCGAAAGGUGUGCUAAUACCGCAUACGUCCUGAGGGAGAAAGCGGGGGACCUGCAAGGGCCUCGCGCGAUUGGAGCGGCCGAUAUCGGAUUAGCUAGUUGGUGAGGUAAAGGCUCACCAAGGCGACGAUCCGUAGCGGGUCUGAGAGGACGACCCGCCACACUGGAACUGAGACACGGUCCAGACUCCUACGGGAGGCAGCAGUGGGGAAUUUUGGACAAUGGGGGCAACCCUGAUCCAGCCAUUCCGCGUGAGUGAUGAAGGCCUUCGGGUUGUAAAGCUCUUUCAGCAGGAACGAAACGGUCUUUUUUAAUAAAGAGGGCUAAUGACGGUACCUGCAGAAGAAGCACCGGCUAACUACGUGCCAGCAGCCGCGGUAAUACGUAGGGUGCGAGCGUUAAUCGGAAUUAUUGGGCGUAAAGCGUGCGCAGGCGGUUCUAUAAGACAGAUGUGAAAUCCCCGGGCUCAACCUGGGAACUGCGUUUGUGACUGUAGGACUCGAGUGUGGCAGAGGGGGGUGGAAUUCCACGUGUAGCAGUGAAAUGCGUAGAUAUGUGGAGGAACAUCGAUGGCGAAGG
rnacentral:rRNA from 1 species